CAUCUGGAAAGAUGAAUCAAAGAAGGUAAUAAUCCUGUAGUCGAAAAUGUUGUCUCUCUUGAGUGGAUCCUGAGUACGACGGAGCACGUGAAAUUCCGUCGGAAUCUGGGAGGACCAUCUCCUAAGGCUAAAUACUCUCUAGUGACCGAUAGUGAACCAGUACCGUGAGGGAAAGGUGAAAAGCACCCCGGAAGGGGAGUGAAAUAGAACCUGAAACCGUGUGCUUACAAGUAGUCAGAGCCCGUUAAUGGGUGAUGGCGUGCCUUUUGUAGAAUGAACCGGCGAGUUACGAUUUGAUGCAAGGUUAAGCAGUAAAUGUGGAGCCGUAGCGAAAGCGAGUCUGAAUAGGGCGUUUAGUAUUUGGUCGUAGACCCGAAACCAGGUGAUCUACCCUUGGUCAGGUUGAAGUUCAGGUAACACUGAAUGGAGGACCGAACCGACUUACGUUGAAAAGUGAGCGGAUGAACUGAGGGUAGCGGAGAAAUUCCAAUCGAACCUGGAGAUAGCUGGUUCUCUCCGAAAUAGCUUUAGGGCUAGCCUCAAGUGAUGAUUAUUGGAGGUAGAGCACUGUUUGGACGAGGGGCCCCUCUCGGGUUACCGAAUUCAGACAAACUCCGAAUGCCAAUUAAUUUAACUUGGGAGUCAGAACAUGGGUGAUAAGGUCCGUGUUCGAAAGGGAAACAGCCCAGACCACCAGCUAAGGUCCCAAAAUAUAUGUUAAGUGGAAAAGGAUGUGGCGUUGCCCAGACAACUAGGAUGUUGGCUUAGAAGCAGCCAUCAUUUAAAGAGUGCGUAAUAGCUCACUAGUCGAGUGACA
rnacentral:rRNA from 1 species